UCGCCCGUAAUGGGGGAAAGCGGGCCGCAGGCCCAGGCGCAACACCCUGGUGGACCGGAAAUCCAGGCGCAAAGCCUCACUCACGAUGAAUCUGCCGCUGUUUGCGCCUGAAUCGAUGAAUACAACCGGCUGGUUCAGCGUUGCCUUAUUAAAUACGAACGAACCGAUUCUAUUACUGGGGAAAUGAAAUGUCAGGAACCCAACUCCUGCCGCAGGAAUGCAUCACGCUGCCGCUGCUCCCGCUGCGCGACGUAGUUGUAUUCCCGCAUAUGGUGAUUCCGCUCUUCGUGGGGCGGCCCAAGUCGAUCAAGGCCCUGGAAGCCGCGAUGGAAGGCGGCAAGCACAUCAUGCUCGUCGCCCAGAAAACGGCGGCGAAAGACGAGCCGACCGAAAAGGACAUGUAUCAGGUGGGAUGUGUCGCCAACAUCCUGCAAAUGCUCAAGCUGCCCGACGGCACGGUCAAGGUGCUCGUCGAGGGUUUGCUGCGCGCGAAAACACUCUCGAUCGAAGAGCAGGAAACGCAGUUUUCCUGCGACGUGAUGCCGCUCGAGCCCGAUCACGCCGAUAGCGCUGAAACCGAAGCGCUGUGCCGCGCGAUCGUCUCGCAGUUCGAUCAGUACGUGAAGCUCAACAAGAAGAUUCCGCCUGAAAUCCUGACUUCGCUGUCGGGUAUCGACGAGGCGGGCCGUCUUGCUGACACCAUUGCCGCGCAUCUGCCGCUCAGGCUCGACCAGAAGCAGCACAUCCUCGAGACGUUCCCGGUCAUCGAACGGCUCGAAUAUCUGCUUGCGCAACUCGAAGCCGAAAUCGACAUCCUUCAGGUCGAGAAGCGCAUCCGUGGGCGCGUGAAGCGUCAGAUGGAAAAGAGCCAGCGCGAGUACUACCUGAACGAGCAAGUCAAGGCCAUCCAGAAGGAACUGGGCGAAGGCGAAGAGGGUGCGGAUCUCGAAGAACUCGAGAAGCGCAUCGCGGCCGCGCGCAUGCCGAAGGAAGCCAAGAAGAAGGCCGAUGCCGAGCUCAAGAAGCUCAAGCUCAUGUCGCCGAUGUCGGCUGAAGCCACCGUCGUGCGCAACUACAUCGACACGCUGAUCGGCUUGCCGUGGCGCAAGAAAAGCAAGGUCAACAACGACCUCUCGAACGCCGAACGCGUGCUGGAUGAAGACCACUUCGGUCUCGAGAAGGUGAAGGAACGCAUUCUCGAGUAUCUUGCGGUUCAGCAGCGCGUCGAGAAGGUGAAAGCGCCGAUCCUCUGCCUCGUCGGGCCGCCUGGCGUGGGUAAGACGUCGCUCGGUCAGUCGAUCGCGCGCGCCACGAACCGCAAGUUCGUGCGCAUGGCGCUCGGCGGCGUGCAUGACGAGUCCGAGAUUCGCGGUCACCGUCGCACGUACAUCGGCUCGAUGCCUGGCAAGAUUCUGCAGAGUCUGACCAAAGUCGGCGUGCGCAAUCCGCUCUUCCUGCUCGACGAAGUCGACAAGAUGGGAAUGGAUUUCCGCGGCGAUCCUGCGUCGGCGCUGCUGGAAGUGCUCGAUCCGGAACAGAACCAUACGUUCGCGGACCACUAUGUCGAAGUGGAUUUCGACUUGUCGGAUGUGAUGUUCGUCGCGACGUCGAACUCGCUGAACAUUCCGCCGCCGCUGCUCGACCGGAUGGAAGUCAUCCGCCUAUCGGGUUACACGGAAGACGAGAAGGUCAGCAUCGCGCAGCGUUAUCUCUUGCCGAAGCAGAAGCGCAACAACGGCCUGAAGGACGACGAGAUCGAAGUGGCGGAGCUGGCUAUCCGCGACAUCAUUCGCUAUUACACACGUGAAGCGGGCGUGCGUUCGCUCGAGCGUGAAAUCUCGAAAAUCUGCCGCAAGGUCGUGAAGAUGCUGCUGCUGAAGAAGGCAGAGGGCGCGGUGAAAGUCGAAGGCGGCAAUCUCGAUACCUUCCUCGGCGUGCGCAAGUACGACUUCGGUCUUGCCGCGAAGGAAAACCAAACCGGUCAGGUCACGGGCCUCGCAUGGACGGAAGUCGGCGGCGAUCUGUUGACGAUCGAAGCGGCGGUCAUGCCCGGCAAGGGCGGUGUGAUCCGUACGGGUUCGCUCGGUGACGUGAUGAAGGAAUCCGUCGAAGCAGCACGCUCGGUGGUGCGCUCGCGCUCGCGGCGUCUGGGCAUCACGGACGAGUCGUUCGAGAAGAAGGACAUCCACAUCCACGUGCCCGAGGGCGCGACGCCGAAGGACGGUCCGUCCGCCGGUAUCGCAAUGACGACGGCGCUGGUGUCGGUGCUCACCGGCAUUCCGGUGCGUGCGGAUGUUGCGAUGACGGGUGAAAUCACACUGCGCGGCGAAGUGCUGCCGAUUGGCGGGUUGAAGGAGAAGUUGCUGGCGGCGCAUCGCGGCGGCAUCAAGCUCGUGCUGAUCUCCGAAGAGAACACCAAGGAUCUGGCCGACAUCCCCGACAACGUGAAGAAUGCCAUCGAGAUCGUUCCGGUUCGCUGGAUUGAUCGCGUGCUGGAACUGGCGCUCGAACGUCUGCCCGAAGCACUGCCUGAAGAAGAAGCGAAGGCAGCGCCCGUCGCGGCCGAAGCGAAGAAAGAUGCACCGGCAUCCGGCGAUGUGGUGAAGCACUAAGCCACAUAGUCGAACGGACCGAAAGCCCGCGAUUUCGCCUCGCGGGCUUUUCUUUUUGUGCCCGCGCGAUUGGAAGUCUCCGUCUAAAGCACGCGCGAGAAGGGCCGCAUCAAGCGGAACCCUCGUUGACACGGAUGUUUCGUCUACGUUUACUUCGUCUACGUUUAAUAAGUUCGCGUUCCGCAACGGUCAGGGGAAGCGGUUCGCCCAGGUGAAACAGAUCGAUUACAUCGUGCCAUUCGAUUACAUCGUGCCAUUACAGAUUCGGGGAUCACCAUGAACAAGACGGAACUGAUCGACCAUAUCGCGCAGGAGGCGGACAUAUCCAAGGCCACUGUGCAACGCGCGCUCGAAGCGGUCAUCGACGGCGUGAGCACGACACUGAAGAAGGACGGUACGGUGACGCUCGUGGGCUUCGGCACCUUCGCCGUGGGCAAGCGCACCGCGCGUACAGGACGCAAUCCGCGCACUGAUGCGGAGAUCAAAAUCGAAGCUGCGAAAGUGCCGAAAUUUCGCCCUGGCAAAGCGCUGAAGGAUGCGCUAAACUGGCUGACUGGCUAGAUGCGGAACCACUAACCAGGUAACUAGCAGCGCAGCGAGGCGCAUAUAGCAAUAGACCGAGCAAUAGAUCGAAAGUGAAAGUAAUAGGACACGGCAGCAGACCG
rnacentral:tRNA from 1 species